rnacentral:lncRNA from 1 species
GGCCAGCAAAGGAACACUGAAGACUCAGAGGGAUCAUCCUUGAAUCUCUCCUUACUGCUGUCACGACCCAGUGUCCUGUGUUACUUGAUGGCGUGAAUCUACCUACAUCAAGUCUCUCCUCUGUCCUUUUGCUAAGACUAGGCUGUGCGUGUGUCUGCUUGGCCAGGAAGAUGCUCAGCCUGAGGACAUCUGGGCACCCCCGUGUGUAUGCCUAAUAGCAAACACCUGCCAACAUGCAGGUCCGGAACAUCAGAUUUCCAGAACGUGUCUGCGAAGCUGCAUCUUCUCUUAAGGGUAUUGGAAGCGAGAAACAUCAGACAUAAAUUGGAUGAUCUUCAUGGAUGCAUGCUGUGUCCAUGUUUUAUGAAUACAGGAGUCGUUCCAAAAUUAAACUCAGGAGUGCAG